GCGGGCAUGGCGGAACUGGUAGACGCGCAAGACUAAGGAUCUUGUGACCGCUUAGGUCGUGGAAGUUCGAGUCUUCUUGCCCGCA
rnacentral:tRNA from 3 species